UACGAAUGGAGCGAGCGUUGUUCGGAAUCACUGGGCGUAAAGGGCGCGCAGGCGGUCAUGAAAGUUAGAUGUGAAAGCCCAGGGCUUAACCCUGGAAUUGCUUUUAAAACUCCAUGACUAGAGUAUUGGAGAGGUUAGCGGAAUUCCGAGUGUAGAGGUGAAAUUCGCAGAUAUUCGGAGGAACACCAAUGGCGUAGGCAGCUAACUGGACAAUUACUGACGCUCAUGCACGAAAGCGUGGGGAUCAAACAGG
rnacentral:rRNA from 1 species